rnacentral:tRNA from 1 species
ACUUGAAUAGUUUAAUUAAAAAUUUUGAUUUGUGGCAUCAAAGAUGUAUUUAUACUUUAAGUA